CAGCUCUUCUCCAUCAGGUUCAUCUGCAAGGCAGAAUAGCCUUUUCAGUUGAAAUUUUACAUUGUUUUCUUCAUUGAGCUUUGGGCCUAUUCCCUACACGCCCCUCACCCAUCAAACACUUACCUUUUGGAGACCUCCUGGAGGCAGCCAUAAUUUUCAGUUCACCCACAAUCCCUUAAUGCAGUUUGCACAGUGUUAAGGAAGCGAAACAGAGCAGUUUCUCCCUCUCCCAUGCAACAAUGACUCAGAAGCAGCCACCAUUUUGGCCCUGAGGGAGGUGUGACAAAAUGGCAGCUGCUUCCACAAGUCCAUCACAUGGCCCAGGGUUGAAUCCCGGGCACACUGAAAAUAACGGCUGCUUCCAGGACAUAGCCAUCCAGCCCUGGGAUGUAUGUCCUGGUCUUCUUCACCAACUUGAGAUCUACUUCUGAGAUAUAUUUCAGUAAAAUGAAUCAGGACGGAACUUAAAUAGUCAAUUUCUCAUCUACACUUCCAAUGACAAAUCAAAAAUGAAAUUUAAGCCUUCUCUAAA